GACGAACGCUGGCGGCGUGCCUAAUACAUGCAAGUUGAGCGAUGAAGAUUGGUGCUUGCACCAAUUUGAAGAGCAGCGAACGGGUGAGUAACGCGUGGGGAAUCUGCCUUUGAGCGGGGGACAACAUUUGGAAACGAAUGCUAAUACCGCAUAAUAACUUUAAACAUAAGUUUUAAGUUUGAAGAUGCAAUUGCAUCACUCAAAGAUGAUCCCGCGUUGUAUUAGCUAGUUGGUGAGGUAAAGGCUCACCAAGGCGAUGAUACAUAGCCGACCUGAGAGGGUGAUCGGCCACAUUGGGACUGAGACACGGCCCAAACUCCUACGGGAGGCAGCAGUAGGGAAUCUUCGGCAAUGGACGAAAGUCUGACCGAGCAACGCCGCGUGAGUGAAGAAGGUUUUCGGAUCGUAAAACUCUGUUGGUAGAGAAGAACGUUGGUGAGAGUGGAAAGCUCAUCAAGUGACGGUAACUACCCAGAAAGGGACGGCUAACUACGU
rnacentral:rRNA from 1 species